rnacentral:tRNA from 1 species
CGCGGGGUGGAGCAGUCCGGUAGCUCGUCAGGCUCAUAACCCGAAGGUCGCGUAGGUUCAAAUCCUGCCCCCGCAA